rnacentral:lncRNA from 1 species
ACUGAUUUAAAAUGAACAUAUUCGCUAAACAAAAGACCUUAUUGGAGUUUCACCACUUUUUCCACUAAUGUCCUUUUUCUGUUCCCAAAUUCCACCCAGGAUCACGCUGCAUUUAGUUAUUUCUUAGUCUCUCGCCGUUUUGUAGGACUGCAAUAACAGUUCCUCAAUCUUUCCUUAUCUUUCAUAACCGUGACAUCUUGAACCAGUACUGAUCAGUAUUUAUGAAAUGUUCCUCGAUUUGGGAUUGUCUGAUGUAUUUCCAUGAUUGGACUGAAGUUACGAACUUUUGGCAAUUACAGCACAAAAAUGAUGUGGAAUCCUUCCCAGUGCAUUCCAUCAGAGUUAUGGCAUUGAUAGUUCUUCUUACUGAUGAUGUUGAACUUGUUCAUUUGGUUCAGGUUUCUGCUGGGUUUCUCCAUUGUAAAGAUACUAUCUUUCCCCCUCAUAGGGGGAAAGAUCUUAGGAGAAAUACUUGGAGACUAUGAAAAUUUUGUAUUUUCUCAAACGUUAAAAUUUUUUUUCAGGCCAGGCGCAGUGGCUCAUGCCUCUAAUCCUAGCACUUUGGGAUGCCGAUGUGGGUGGAUCACCUGAGGUCAGGAGUUCAAAACCAGCUUGAUCAACAUGGAGAAACCCCAUACCUACCAAAAAUACAAAAUUAGCCAGGCAUGGUGGUGCAUGCCUGUAAUCCCAGCUACUCAGGAGGCUGAGGAAAGAGAAUUGCUUGAACCCGGGAGGAGAGGCUGCAGUGAGCUGAGAUCGUGCCAUUGCACUCCAGCCUGGAUAACAAGAGCAAAAGUCCAUCACAAAAAAAAAAAAAAGGCCAGGCGCAAUGGCUCACACCUGUAAUCCCAGCACUUUGGGAGGCCAAGGUGGGUGGAUCACCUGAGGUCAGGAGUUGGAGACCAGCCUGACCAACAUGGAGAAACCCCAUCUCUACUAAAAUAAAAUACAAAAUUAACUGGGCAUGGUGGUGCAUGCCUGUAAUCCCAGCUACUCAGGAGGCUGAGGCAGUAGAAUUGCUUGAACACGGGAGGUGGAGGUUGCCGUGAGCCGAGAUCCUGCCAUUGCACUCCAGCCUGGCCAACAAAAGCAAACCUCCAUCUCAAAAAAAAAAAACAACAACAAAACACCUAUUUUGACAGCCGGGCAUGGUGGCUCACACCUGUAAUCCCAGAACUUUGGGAGGCCAAGGCAGGCGGAUCACCUGAAGUCAGGAGUUCAAGACCAGCCUGGCGAACAUGGUGAAACCCCGUCUCUACUAAACAUACAAAAAUUAGUUGGGCAUGGUGGCAUGUGCCUGUAAGUUCCAGCUACUUGGGAGGCUGAGGCAGGAGAAUCACUUGAACCCAGAAGGCAGAGGUUGCAGUGAGCCGAGACGGCGCCAUUGCACUCCAGCCUGGGCAAUAGAGUGAGGGAUCUCAAAAAAUUAUAAUGAAAAAAUAAUAAUUCUAUUUUGAAUUGUGGUAAAAUAUACAUAAAAUUUACUACCUUAACCACUUCUAAGUGGCAGUUGGAACAGGGGUCAAGGAGAGCCCUUGGGUUGGGUAAUGUAUAUUCACAUUGCCAUGCAACCAAUCUCUGGAACUUUUUCAUCUGACAAAACCAAAACUCUAUAUCCACUAAGCAACUUCCCAUUUUCUCCCUUCCCCAUGUCCCUGGCAACCCCCGUUCUACCUUCUGUUUCUAUUAGUUUGCUUACUCAGUCUGGACGCUUCACAUAAGUGAAGGAACACCGUAUUUGUCUUUUUCUAACUGGCUUAUUUCACUUAGCGUAAUGUCCUCAAUGUUCAUCCAUGUUGUAGCAUGUGUUAGAAUUUCCUUCCUUUUUAAGGCUGAAGAACAUUUUAUUGUAUGUAUAUACCACAUUUUAUCAAUUCAUCUGCCUAUGGACAACUAGGCUGCAUCCAUCUUUUGACGAGUGUGAAUACCACUGCUAUAAAUAUCAGUGUACACAUAUUUCUAUGAGACCUUGCUUUCAAUUAUUUUGGCUAUAUACCCAGAAGUGAUAUUGCCGGAUCAUUUGGUAAUUCUAUUUUUAAUUUUUUGAGAAACUGCCUGUCCUGUGCUGAGCAGGUCUAUAUAAACCUACCCGCAAAGGCCAAGGAACCUGAGAUACCAAAGAAAGAGGCUGACAAAUCCAGUUUCUCAGAAAGAAACAUUUAAUAGGCGUUUAUGAACAGAAGGCAAGUCAGGGAUGGCACCAAGAUAAGAUGGUGGAUCCCUGUGCCAUCACCCCCACCCCCCCGACCCAGGGCUUCUAUAGCAUAGGGGAAGGGUAAUGCGGGCUUCAGCAGGGAUGUGUAUGGCCAGACACGGUGGCUCACGCCUGCAAUCCCAGCUCUUUGGGAGGCCAAGGUGGGCGGAUCACCUGAGGUCAGGAGUUCCAGACCAGCCUGGCCAACAUGGUAACACCUCGUCUCUACUAAAAAUACAAAAAUUAGCCAGGCGUGGUGGCAGGCGCCUGUAAUCCCAGUUACUCGGGAAGCUGAGGCAGGAGAAUCGCUUGAGCCCAGGAGGUGAAGUUUGCAGUGAGCUGAGAUUGUGCCACUGAAGUCCAACCUGGGAGACAGAGUGAGACUCGGUCUCAAAAAAUAAAAAAUAAAAAAUAAUUUUUUUAAAAAGAUAAAAUAGAAAUCGUAGAUGAAUUGUUGGAACUGGGAUUAAUCAGAAUAUGGCAGAUUAGCAUCCAAGAUGGAAUUGCUUUAUUCUCAUUCAAGGUUUCCCUCAUUCUUCACUCUCCCCAUGCUGGUCACCUUGCUGUUUGUUCCUCAAACACAUAUGAAAUGCGUUUCUGUCUUGGCAGUCAUCCUGCUACCUGUAAUGUCAGCACUGCUUUCUGUUGUCCCUUCAGUCAGGUCACUGUUCAAAUAGCUCUCUAGACAGGCUCUUCCUUAUCAUUCUACUUAAAAUAGCCCCCAAUCACUCUGUGUCCCUUUAGCCUGCUUCCUCUUCCUGCUAUUUCAUACUACCUGAAAAAAAUACUUGAACUUCCUAGAACAUAAGCUCAUAAAAGCAAGAACUGUGCUCCACCUCUCCUCUCCUCUACCCCAGCACUCAGAAGAGAAACAGAGUCAGCAUCCAGUGAGUGUUCAUGAAUCAAGUCACUGCUUGGCAGAAUUCAGCACUGGGACCACAGCCUCGCCUAUCUUCAACUCUUUCUCCUUCUGCUUUUCCUCCUCCCACUCUAGUAGCCACUCUUCUGGGGGCUUGUCCCUUAAAUGAUUAGUCCUUACUGACCUAUUUUCUGUCCACUUUAUCUGUUUUUGAGAGAGGGUCUCACUCUGUUGCCCAGGCUGGAGUGCAGUGGCAUGAAUAUGGGUCACUGCAGCCUCCACCUCCUGGGCUCAAGUGAUCUUCCUGCCUCAGCCUGCCAUGCCAUGUAACUGAGGCCACAGGCAUGUGCCACCAUGUCCAGCUAAUUUCUUGAUUUUUUUUUGGUAGAAAUGGGUCUCACUUUAUUGCCCAGUCUGGUCUUGAAGUCCUACACUCGAGCAGUCCUCUCAACUUGGCCUCCCAAAGUGCUGGGAUUACAGGCAUGAGAUACUGCACCUGGUCUUAUUUUUUCUUUUCUUAAGAUACAGGGUCUCACCAUCUGGCCCAGGCUGAACUCAAACUGCUGAGCUCAAGUAAUUCCCCCACCUCAGCCUCCGAAGUAGCUAGGACUAAAGGCAUGAAACCACCAUGCUUGGCUUGUCCAAUUUCAUUCUACACACUUUCUUGGUAUUUAAACAGCUGCUGUUGCUCUUCAUUCUGUAGCUCUACAUCAGAUUCAUGCUCUAGUCCUGUAUAUCCAAAUGAUGACUAGAGGCUGCCGGCUCUGCUCUUUCAAAGGCACAAUGAGCGUAGCCCGUCUACAAAACUCUCCCUUUUCCAAUCCAGCUUUCCCUCCUGCAUCACCUAUCUCUCUACAUCUGGAACCAUCGGCAGCUGCCUUCAUAAGGCACCUCAGUCUGGCAUUCGGAAAACCACCCUGUCUUGCCAGAGCCUCUUGGUCUUGGGUAGCAAAAGCUGUAUGCAAUCUAAAUCAAGCUUUCAAUCAUGAGAAAUCACAUUCCUUCUUUUCCCUUUGUAAUAUACUCAUGUGUUUUUUUUUUUCCUUUCUCAAUAAGCAAAUUGUACCACCAUCUUAUUCUGAGAUGCUCCUUUUUAAAAGCUGUAGAUCACAUUAAUGGAAGUGGUUACUGCUGGGAAUAUUUUCCAUGUGCAAUGAUCUGUAACCCUCUUUUUCUUUUUUUUGAGACCGAGUCUUGCUCUGUUGCCCAGGCCAGAGUGCAGUGGCACAAUCUCUGCUCACUGCAAGCUUUGCCUCCUGAGUUCAUGCCAUUAUCCUGCCUCAGCCUCCCAAGUAGCUGGGACUACAGGUGCCCGCCACCACGCCCAGCUAAUUUUUUUUUUUGAGAUGGAGUCUCGCUUGGUCGCCCAGGCUGGAGUGCAGUGGUGCAAUCUCAGCUCAUUGCAAGCUCCGCCUCCUGGGUUCACGCCAUUCUCCUGCCUCAGCCUCCCGAGUAGCUGGGACUACAGGUGUGAGCCACCACGCCUGGCCAUUCCCAGCUAAUUUUUUGUAUUUUUUAGUAGAGAUGGGGUUUCAUGAUGUUAGCCAGGAUGGUCUCAAUCUCCUGACCUGGUGAUCAGUCCGCCUAGGCCUCCCAAAGUGCUAGGAUUACAGGUGUGAGCCACUGCGCCCAGCCUAACUGUAACCCUCUUAUCUCAACUAGCUGACAUUAUUACUUCACAUCCAGUUCAAUUUAUAAAUUAAGAGAGGUGCCAUGGGCCUGGUACGGUGGCUCACCCCCAUAAUCCCAACACUUUGGGAGGCCGAGGCAGGUGGAUCACGAGGUCAGGAGUUCGAGACCAUCCUGGCUAACAUGGUGAAACCACGUCUCUACUAAAAAUACAAAAAAUUAGCCAGGUGUGGUGGCAGGCACCUGUAGUCCCAGCUACCUGAGAGGCUGAGGCAGGAGAAUGGUGUGAAUCCAGGAGGCAGAGCUUGCAGUGAGCAGAUAUCAUGCCACUGCACUCCAGCUGGGGCAACAGAGCAAAACAUCGUCCAAAAAAAUAAAAAUAAAAAUAAAAAUGAAAAAGAGGUGCCAUGUGUACAAAAAUCAAUGCACAUUUAUGAAAUUUUUUUUCAAAUAUAUUUUCACACAUUUUAUCUAAAUACAUAAUACAGAAGCCUGUGUGACUUGGGCAAUGUG